rnacentral:rRNA from 1 species
UUGGAGGGCAAGUCUGGUGCCAGCAGCCGCGGUAAUUCCAGCUCCAAUAGCGUAUAUUAAAGUUGUUGCAGUUAAAAAGCUCGUAGUUGAAUUUCGGGAUCAGUACGCUGGUCGUGCCUUAGGUACGUACUGGUGUUACUGGUUCCUACCUUCUGACGAACCAUCAUGUCAUUAAUUUGGUGUGGCGGGGAAUCAGGACUGUUACUUUGAAAAAAUUAGAGUGUUUAAAGCAGGCUCGCGCUUGAAUACAUUAGCAUGGAGUAAUGAAAUAGGACGUUGAUCCUAUUUUGUUGGUUUCUAGGAUUGACGUAAUGAUUAAUAGGGAUAGUUGGGGGCAUUAGUAUUCAAUUGUCAGAGGUGAAAUUCUUGGAUUUAUUGAAGACUAACUACUGCGAAAGCAUUUGCCAAGGAUGUUUUCAUUAAUUAAGAACGAAAGUUAGGGGAUCGAAGACGAUCAGAUACCGUCGUAGUCUUAWCCAUAAACUAUGCCGACUAGGGAUCGGAUGAUGUUAAUUUUUUAAUGACUCAUUCGGCGCCUUACGGGAAAC